GAUGGGGCAAAGUUCAUUAAAAAUAAAUUCUAGCUUUACAGCAUAGGAGCAUAGUUGGAGAAACAAUGGUCUUUUAGAAAAAACUCUCAACAAAGUGUUAAUGUAAGUGCUUCACCCUCCUAUAUAGUGAAUCGAACUUGGUGUGCUUUGCUGCUUUGUGUCCUUUGAGCUCACACUGUUUGCUGUGAGAGUCCUUGACGAUUUUACUCUGUAUUCUCUCCUGCAUGGAGGAAAAACCUGAUGUAGUUUAGACUAGGAAUGACCCCUUGGUCCCCAGUCCAUGCACCUACUGGGAGAUGGUGCAACUUUCAGUGGGGUCUAGAGGUCUUCCAGUCAGUGUGGUCAUGCUCUAGAAGGGACUCUGGGACCCAGCUUUCUUCCUGUUGCUCUGAUUACUAGCCAGGAGAUAAACAGGCCUCCAGCACCACACAUUUCCCACCAUGAUGUAUGUGGUACCACAAAGCCAAAACAAUGGGACCAAUGUGUCAUGGGCUGAAAUCUUCAAAACUAUAAGCCAAAAACCCCUUUCCUGCUUAUUUUUCUCAGGUAUCUGUUACAGCAAUGGAAAACUACCUGUCCUGCCACAUGCAUGUCACUGCCCAUCAAUACCCAAGCAGGAUGUGGGGUGCAAAGUCCUUCAUUUUCUGUCUACACUGCUUUGCUUGGGAGAGGAUGACCACAUAUGUGAUCACAGAUACACUGUAUCCAUGCUCACCUUUGAAAUCAUGUUCAUCCCCAUGGCAUCCCCUGUCUUAGACUGGAAAGCGGAUAUAAAGGUUUCGUCCAGCCAUACUGGUGUGAAGUUUCUGUAGACGUGCAAAUCUGUGAACCAAAGAAGCAAAGACUUUAUUUCACUCUUUUCAGUUACUUCAUGCUUACAAGAAAGCUCAUCAAGAUUACUUAUUUUCUUCUUC
rnacentral:lncRNA from 1 species